rnacentral:rRNA from 1 species
UACGUAGGUGGCAAGCGAUACUCGGAAUCACUAGGCGUAAAGCGCAGGUAGGAGGUUUAGUAAGUCUGUUGUGAAAGCUCCCGGCUUAACUGGGAGAGGUCAACGGAAACUGCUAGGCUAGAGUGUGGUAGAGGUAGCUGGAAUUCCCGGUGUAGCGGUGAAAUGCGUAGAUAUCGGGAGGAAUACCUAUGGCGAAGGCGGGUCUCUGGGCAACAACUGACGCUGAGGAGCGAAAGCGUGGGGAGCGAACAGG